rnacentral:rRNA from 1 species
GUGAGGAAUAUUGCGCAAUGGAGGCAACUCUGACGCAGCCAUGCCGCGUGCAGGAAGAAGGCGCUACGCGUUGUAAACUGCUUUUAACCGGGAAGAAACCCCAGGACGUGUCCUGGGUUGACGGUACCGGAGGAAUAAGCACCGGCUAACUUCGUGCCAGCAGCCGCGGUAAUACGAAGGGUGCAAGCGUUAUCCGGAUUCAUUGGGUUUAAAGGGUGCGUAGGCGGAGCGUUAAGUCAGUGGUGAAAUCCUGCAGCUUAACUGUAGACUUGCCAUUGAUACUGGCGCUCUUGAGUGCGCUUGAAGUUGGCGGAAUGUGCCGUGUAGCGGUGAAAUGCUUAGAUAUGGCACAGAACACCAAUUGCGAAGGCAGCUCACUAAGGCGAUACUGACGCUGAGGCACGAAAGCGUGGGGAUCGAACAGGAUUAGAUACCCCAGUAGUCC